rnacentral:lncRNA from 1 species
AAUUCCUUACUGUUUGUGUACGGAGGGGAGCCUUGACGUAACUGGUAAAGUUGUUGCCAUGUAAACGAGAGGUCACAUGUGUCGGCUUUGGGAGAAAAUCAUUCCUUUGCCGGGCGCUAGUCAAAGUAGUAAAAAGGGGCAAGUGGGCAAGGCUGCGUACAGUAAACCCUUGUGAUCUGACCUAACUCGGAUCCUACACAUAACAAAAGCUUAGUGCAUCAGACUGUUUUUUUUACUGUUUAAAUUUGUGUAAGUUGCAUUGUUAUCUUACUGUUUAUUGUCUUUGAAGCAGUUUUCGAACUGGAAAGAAAUUAUGUUGAAACCGCAGAAGCCAAGAUUUGUCCAUUUUAUUGUAUGGGUGGUGUGUCGUACAUGACUUGCCCACCUUCGGGAGAUAAGAAGAUUGCUACCCGUCAUGUAUGAAUUGCUGCCAAGCAGCAAAGGACUGCAAACUUUUUCAAAAAUAUCGAAAGGGAUAUCAUGGACUGUUUUUUUUUCUGUUUAAAUUUGUAUAUAUUGCACUGUUAUCUUACUGUUUAUUGUCUUUGAAGCAGUUAUCGAACUGGAAAGAAAUUAUGUUGAAACCGCAGAAGCCAAGAUUUGUCCAUUUUAUUGUAUGGGUGGUGUAUCGUACAUGACUUGCCCACCUCCGGGAGAUAAGAAGAUUGCUACCCGUCAUGUAUGAAUUGCUGCCAAGCAGCAAAGGACUGCAAACUUUUUCAAAAAUAUCGAAAGGGAUAUCAUGUUACCUUAAAUUCCAAUCAAUUAUGGUCAUAUGUGUAAAGUCAAGUCUU